GAGCCAAUCUUUGAAACAGUAUGGAGUAAGGCCUCCGCCAUUUCUGCUGAACAGCAUAAACGUACAUCAUGUUAUAUAGUAUAGUGAAAAAAUUGAAAAGGAUUAGCAGAAACCCAACACAUAGUUGCGCGAUCCGAAUGCCUUGUUAUAAUUAUCAGUAAGAAAAAUAAAACCAGAUGGAAGGACAAGAAUGCGGAUAAAGAACGAUAUUAAUUCAAUUUUCUUGGGUUGAUAAUAUCUGUAGGUUCCAUGUUACAUUCCUUUCUAAGAUUUGACAUGUAAGUCGAGAAUUGGAAACAAAAACACAAAACUGAUUAUGUGACCAUAGUCCACAGACUCUACACGGACUAAAUAAAGCCAUGGAUUCUGCACUGCAAACAUCUAUAUUCAGUUUGAUUCAACCCUGAUUUCUAGCUUCUGCCAUAAUUCAAUAUUUAUAAUUAGGUGUACAAACAUCACGCAUUAGUAGAGAAGUAUAAUGCCGCUAAUUAAAGCAUUUCAUUGAGCUUAAGUAUGGAUGCAAAAUGUCAUGUGUAACUCAUAGAAUGAAUAAACCAGUCCAUGAGAAGUGAACUAUCCCUUGUAAACUAUCUUCUGCUCUGUUUAAUUGAUUCAUCAACAUAUUAUGCCUCUUAAUGUCCUUUGAAGGUAAGAAAUUAUCAUGAUCAGAAUUCUCUGUCUGCUUCAUUGCUUUGGUUGUUAGGCCUACUGCUCAGUUUGUUUAAAUUCAAGACAGAGAACUUUUGCCGCUCUGUUAUGUGGGGAUGCCAAUACGUGCGACGCAAGAAGAAGAGCCCGGAGCCCGGACCAGUUCAGGUUGAUGGCGCCGAAGUGGUUGAUUAGAAAUGUUGGUUUUGUUAGGCUUGUGAGUUUAGUUAGAGGUUGGUUGGAGGAAGGCAAUUAGUUAAGAUUUGGUUUGUUUAAAUGAUUGGAUAAUUAGCAGAUUGGUUGAUCUUGAACGUGGGCAAAAGCCAUCAGCCUAUAAAUAUAAAGGCUGUGUAAUUGGAACAUCAAGCAAUAUAUCAAUCUAUUCCCUCCUUUCUAUCCUCUGUCU
rnacentral:lncRNA from 1 species